rnacentral:rRNA from 1 species
GGACGAACGCUGGCGGCGUGCUUAACACAUGCAAGUCGAACGGUGAAGCGCCUUCCUUUUUGGUGGGUGUGGAUGAGUGGCGAACGGGUGAGUAACACGUGAGUAACCUGCCCCCUUCUUCUGGAUAACCGCAUGAAAGUGUGGCUAAUACGGGAUAUUCUGGGUCUGUCGCAUGAUGGGUCUGGGAAAGAUAUUGUUUCGGUGGGGGAUGGGCUCGCGGCCUAUCAGCUUGUUGGUGGGGUGAUGGCCUACCAAGGCGGUGACGGGUAGCCGGCCUGAGAGGGUGGACGGUCACACUGGGACUGAGACACGGCCCAGACUCCUACGGGAGGCAGCAGGGGGGAAUAUUGCACAAUGGGCGCAAGCCUGAUGCAGCGACGCCGCGUGAGGGAUGGAGGCCUUCGGGUUGUGAACCUCUUUCGCCAGUGAAGCAGGCCUGCCUCGUUUGUGGGUGGGUUGACAGUAGCUGGAUAAGAAGCGCCGGCUAACUACGUG